rnacentral:lncRNA from 1 species
AACAUAGCUGUCAGCUGUGGUUUUAUUCUGUGGAAGGCUAAAAGCCAUCCUAUUUAAUAAUUUUAAUUCAUUUUUGCCCAAAGAUCCAUUUGUGAUAGUUUCCUUUUAAAUUUUAAGAUAUUGAAUAUUAUUCUUCUGACUGAUGCUAUUAUCUGCUGUCACGUAGAUGGCGUAGCCUAGGAAACACGAAGCCAGCCCGGACCAUAUCAUGUCUGUGCUUUCUUCUUGUUCUGUCUCUGACUUAUUUUAUGAAAACUGACAGGUUUUGGGGAAGCCAUUCAUCCCUAGAGUCUGCCUGCGCUGAUGCUCUGAGUCUGUUGGGUUCCCGGAGAGUGAAGGCAGAUUAAUCAUGAAAGAGUGAAAGGGAUCUUUUUCUCUGGCUAUGCAUCUGAUUCCUGGUAGAGAUGGUCUGUUUCUUCAUUUCCAAACUUUAUCUGAUAUUCUAAGAUGCACAGAGAGAAGAAAUUUCAGUGGUCCUAGCCCAGGAAACUACCACCUCAGCGUAAGGGUGUAAUAAGAGUUCUCAAGGAAUCACCAACACAAGCCUGGGAACACUCGAGACCUUCCAGAAAAUACUCUCAGGUCUGUAACUCCAUGAUCUGUAAAUAAACC